UCCUAUUAGUAGUGUUCCGUCUCCCAGGGGUUUGAUUUGCAUUUUCCCAUGGUUGUAGGGAAUAACACUCUUUUUGCAUUUUUUCCAGGAUUGCUGCAGACUCAGCAGCACUCUGACAGUUAGCCAUUAACAGAGAUUUGUAACCAUUCUGCAAAGUCUUUGCUGCUGAAAGCUUGCAAAGUAUCCUUUUGUUUUUGAGACUGCCCCUUUUCCUGGGGUUGAAAUCUCCAUUUUGAGAAGCUUUUUUUGCCUUUCCACAGAAGAGAAAAGAACUCAGAUGUGCUUGUGUGGUCAAGCCAGGCCAGCUUAGACAAUCCAUCGUCUCUGCUUGUUGCAAAGGAAAUGAAUAUCUCUGCACAAUUCUUACCAAGUGUUCACACAUCUCAAGGAAACAUUUUAUGGAAGAGAAAUAACAGACAAAGAGAGAUGGCGAAGAUGUUAAGAUUCAUCAAACAAUCAUCAAGGAGAACAUACAAUUAAGAUGAAAAAGAUUUUGCUUACAGAAGGACAUAAUUUUCAAUGGUUUUCAUUUGCUGACAAACCAAAAACCACAGUCAUGGAUUGAACUAAAGGCAACUUUUAUUGAAUAGUUACCUAUUUAUGCUGUUUCUUGAGGUUAAUCAAACUAUUUGGGGGAGCAAUCUGUUAUAGGAGCAGUUGAGGGAGUCUGUCAUCCCUGACUUGAGCCCUCAACAUCCUCUUGGGCAUUACACAGAAAUCCCUAAGAGCAAUCCAUAAUUUACAUGGUUGCUCAAAGUCCAGUUCUUAUCCUGGAAAACGAAUCAAGGGUUGUAUGCCCCCAAAGUUGCUUUUGACUUCUAACUAGACCCCAGAGACCAGCCCAAGGACAGGAUGUUAAUCUCCUACUCCCCAGAUUGCUUGACCAGCAAGGGGGGUUGAAAAUUCUCAUCCAACAUCAAAUUGUGCCAGUAGGUGAACACCAUACCAUAGCUCCCUCCUAUACCUUCCACAAAUAGGGGGCCAGUGUCCACUGAGCCCCCCUUUCCCCCACCAGAACCACAAAUCAUGUAUUUAAUGGCAUGUUCCAAAUCCCCUGGCUCUAAUCCUAGCUCAGAAAGAUGAACACCAUCUGACCAUAGUAACUCAGGUCGUUUAUAAGUAAUUUCAGGGUGAUUAAUAUGACAACCCAAACCAUUAACUAUGGCACGUCUAAUUUCCCUAUUUACCCUUUUUUGUGCUACAUCCAACCAAUUAGCAUCUCCUUCCCCAGGCCAACAUUGUCUAGAAAUGAUGACAGAUCACAAAAUCUUAGUAAAGGGCCAAUCCAUGUCAAUAAUGGUGUGAAUUAUAAGGGCCUUCUCUACCAAAAGUGCAAGGUCAUUGUCCCCAAGAUGUAAGAUCAAUAUGUGGGGAGGCAGGCCACAGUGAUCAUUAAACAACUGUGGCAAUAAGCUGUGUCAAUGAAGCCUCCUCCAGCCCAGCCAUUUGACAGUGUCUAUACCACCAAGGCUCAAAUGAGGUCCAAAAUAGCUCCUGCGCACGUGACGCUUAGCCCAGAAGGUGAAGCUGUGUUCACAAAUAAAGACUCUAUGUUGUACUGGCUUGUAACAUAAAGCUGGACUAGACAGAGCUUUUGUCUGAUUCAGAAUUGUUUUUUAUGUUCUUACCUGCAGAAAAUAUGGCUGGGAUGAUGACAACUCACAGCCCAGAGACUAUUUUGGUGGCAUUUCUGUAGCAACCAUAAUCUCUCAUACUCAACAGAGGUGUCCAAAUAUUACUCCACUUCCCUUCUACCCUACUCUUUAGCUAAUUCACGUGGGAGAUGUACUGACUAGAUUAGUGGUUUCUCUAGCCUAAGCAGUCAAUUGACACAAAUCUAAUGAACACUGAGCACGUAGAGGUGUGCAAUUCAGCCAAAACGCAUGCUGUUUUGGGGUCCAUUGUCGGCUGACCCCUCAUUCAGUUUACUAGGAAGUUACUUGAAAGGAGAGGGGUGUUGCCGUUUUCAUUCGGCACAGAUUCGGCCCAUCGACUACAAUGGGAAAUUGUAAAGGUGCAAUCCUCAGCCAUUUUAAGACCUAUCUGCAAAAAACCUACCUCUGUUUUAGAUCCUAUUUACAACUGCAGGCCUGCCAAGUUUGGAAACAAUUCACCACUCUAGUAAUUUCUUAGAAUUAUUGUAAGUUUUAUUGUAACAUUUUUAAAAAUAAGACAAACCACAACAGAGGGUUCUGGGAAUUGUAGUCACCAGUUGUGUCCAUUCUCAGUCUAUCAGAGCAUGGACACCACCAGACUUUUUAUUGGCUGAGAAACACAGAGAGAGAAAAGCCUCAGCUCCCAUCAUGCUCCAAGAUGAACUUUUCAAUGCAUGCCCUAUGCAAGUGCUGCUGGGAAAGUGAAUUCCCAGGGCCCUCUCUGGAGGAGGAGGGAUCUUUCCACGAAGAGCUGGGGGGUGCUGCUUCUGUUGGGGAAGGGGGGAGAUUUCUGCCUCAGGUAUAUUGCAGACUUAAUUCCUUCCUCAACCAGAAUUGAUAAAAUCUGGCUCUCUCAAUUCGUUUUCCCAGGCUUUCGUCUCUCUUCUCCCUAUUCUGUUUUCAGAUAUUAUUUAAAAUGGCCCACUGAAAACUACAAAGCAUUCUUGGUCAAACCAAUUCAGGCCCAAGCCAAAUGAGCAGGGUAGAAGUGGUACAACAUUUAUCAUACCUCCAGAAAGCUUAUGUUUGCUGUAUCUUGCAUAAUAUUUCUGAUUCAAGAAAUCAAAAAAGGAUAAGAAUUGGAAAAGCAGUUAUGAAGAAUGAGAUAAAAUCUUCAAAUGUAAAAAUAUAUCAUUACAUACAAAAAUUAGAACAACCCAUACCAUAUCAUUUUGAUAUCUAUGUUUGUGGGUGAAAGGGGGACAGUGAAGAAAACUCAUAGGAAGAGAAUACCAUAGACUGUCAAAAAGACAAAUAAAAGGUCCAAAAGCAAAUAAAUCCUAUAGUCUUCCUAGAACCAAGAUGACUAAACUAAAGCUUUUAUGAAACAAUGUGGCUGAUUAGAAAAGACAACAAUGACAAGCUAAAGUGGAAGGCAGAAAUGAAAGAGAAAGACCACUUUACAAAUGGAUUGAUUCCAUAAAGGAAAACUCAGCCCUGACCCAGGUUAAGCUCUAGGACACAUGGAGAUUUCUCAUUCAUAUUGUCAUAGCAAUUCAUGACAAAGAAUAGCUUUAGUUCAGAAGGAGGUGGUAAACUGUGGUACUUGAGCAAUAUCAAUUCAAAGUACAGCAGGAAUUACUUGAUGAAAUGCAAGGGUCAAGGAUUUUCAUUUCCCUUUCUCUAUCUCUGGCAUGGUAUCUUCUAGGACCUCAUCUCACUUGAGCUUGGAUCCACUUCAAAUCCACUUUAGGGAGGGGGCUUUAAACAGCUCAGUCAGACAGAUCCUGGGCCUCACCAAACUACAAACUCUGGAAUUCUGCAAGAGGCAGAAACCAGAUUUAAAGUGGAUUCAUACUCUAGUAUGAUGAGGCAGCCAGUAUAUGGGGUGACUUUUCAUCAUUCUUUUUUUUUUAGAUGUUUUUUAUUUCUUUUUGAUACAUCAUAACAAUUAACUAUUUUUGCCAUACAUAACUUAUUUCAGUAUACAUUGUUCCAAAGGUAACUAUUUCUUAAAUGACAUUUUAAACAGUUCUUAGAAAUGUAUCACCCUCCACCCCCACCCUCCCCCCAUACCCC